rnacentral:miRNA from 1 species
GGUUGGCCCAAAAAUUCAUUUGGGUUUUUUUGUGAGACCUUACAGAAAAAUCUGAGUGAGCUUUUUGGCCAACUCAAU